rnacentral:rRNA from 1 species
GUGGCGGCAGCCUACACAUGCAGUCGAGCGGUAGCACAGAAGAGCUUGCUCUUUGGGUGACGAGCGGCGGACGGGCCAGUAAUGUCUGGGAAACUGCCUGAUGGAGGGGGAUAACUACUGGAAACGGUAGCUAAUACCGCAUAACCUCGCAAGAGCAAAGAGGGGGACCUUCGGGCCUCUCGCCAUCAGAUGUGCCCAGAUGGGAUUAGCUAGUAGGUGAGGUAAUGGCUCACCUAGGCGACGAUCCCUAGCUGGUCUGAGAGGAUGACCAGCCACACUGGAACUGAGACACGGUCCAGACUCCUACGGGAGGCAGCAGUGGGGAAUAUUGCACAAUGGGCGCAAGCCUGAUGCAGCCAUGCCGCGUGUGUGAAGAAGGCCUUCGGGUUGUAAAGCACUUUCAGCGGGGAGGAAGGCGGUAAGGUUAAUAACCUUAUCGAUUGACGUUACCCGCAGAAGAAGCACCGGCUAACUCCGUGCCAGCAGCCGCGGUAAUACGGAGGGUGCAAGCGUUAAUCGGAAUGACUGGGCGUAAAGCGCACGCAGGCGGUCUGUUAAGUUGGAUGUGAAAUCCCCGGGCUUAACCUGGGAACUGCAUUCAAAACUGACAGGCUAGAGUCUUGUAGAGGGGGGUAGAAUUCCAGGUGUAGCGGUGAAAUGCGUAGAGAUCUGGAGGAAUACCGGUGGCGAAGGCGGCCCCCUGGACAAAGACUGACGCUCAGGUGCGAAAGCGUGGGGAGCAAACAGGAUUAGAUACCCUGGUAGUCCACGCUGUAAACGAUGUCGAUUUGGAGGUUGUGCCCUUGAGGCGUGGCUUCCGGAGCUAACGCGUUAAAUCGACCGCCUGGGGAGUACGGCCGCAAGGUUAAAACUCAAAUGAAUUGACGGGGGCCCGCACAAGCGGUGGAGCAUGUGGUUUAAUUCGAUGCAACGCGAAGAACCUUACCUACUCUUGACAUCCAGAGAACUUAGCAGAGAUGCUUUGGUGCCUUCGGGAACUCUGAGACAGGUGCUGCAUGGCUGUCGUCAGCUCGUGUUGUGAAAUGUUGGGUUAAGUCCCGCAACGAGCGCAACCCUUAUCCUUUGUUGCCAGCGAUUCGGUCGGGAACUCAAAGGAGACUGCCGGUGAUAAACCGGAGGAAGGUGGGGAUGACGUCAAGUCAUCAUGGCCCUUACGAGUAGGGCUACACACGUGCUACAAUGGCGUAUACAAAGAGAAGCGACCUCGCGAGAGCAAGCGGACCUCAUAAAGUACGUCGUAGUCCGGAUUGGAGUCUGCAACUCGACUCCAUGAAGUCGGAAUCGCUAGUAAUCGUAGAUCAGAAUGCUACGGUGAAUACGUUCCCGGGCCUUGUACACACCACCCGUCACACCAUGGGAGUGGGUUGCAAAAGAAGUAGGUAGCUUAACCUUCGGGAGGGCGCUUACCACUUUGUAUUCAAA